GAGCUUGCUCCCUGAUUUAGCGGCGGACGGGUGAGUAAUGCCUAGGAAUCUGCCUGGUAGUGGGGGGUAACGUUCCGAAAGGAACGCUAAUACCGCAUACGUCCUACGGGAGAAAGCAGGGGACCUUCGGGCCUUGCGCUAUCAGAUGAGCCUAGGUCGGAUUAGCUAGUUGGUGAGGUAAUGGCUCACCAAGGCGACGAUCCGUAACUGGUCUGAGAGGAUGAUCAGUCACACUGGAACUGAGACACGGUCCAGACUCCUACGGGAGGCAGCAGUGGGGAAUAUUGGACAAUGGGCGAAAGCCUGAUCCAGCCAUGCCGCGUGUGUGAAGAAGGUCUUCGGAUUGUAAAGCACUUUAAGUUGGGAGGAAGGGCAUUAACCUAAUACGUUAGUGUUUUGACGUUACCGACAGAAUAAGCACCGGCUAACUUCGUGCCAGCAGCCGCGGUAAUACGAAGGGUGCAAGCGUUAAUCGGAAUUACUGGGCGUAAAGCGCGCGUAGGUGGUUCGUUAAGUUGGAUGUGAAAGCCCCGGGCUCA
rnacentral:rRNA from 1 species